GACGAACGCUGGCGGCGUGCUUAACACAUGCAAGUCGAACGGAAAGGCCCUGCUUUUGUGGGGUGCUCGAGUGGCGAACGGGUGAGUAACACGUGAGUAACCUGCCCUUGUCUUUGGGAUAACUUCAGGAAACUGGGGCUAAUACCCGAUAGGAGCUCCUGCUGCAUGGUGGGGGUUGGAAAGUUUCGGCUGUUGGGGAUGGCCUCGCGGCUUAUGAGCUUGUUGGUGGGGUAGGGGCUUGCCAAGGCUUCGACGGGUAGGCGUCCUGAGAGGGUGACCGGCCACCUUGGGACUAAGAUACGGACCAGAAUACUACGGGACACAGCAGUGGGAAACAUUGCACAAAAGCCGGGAGACUGAGGGAGCAACGCCACGCGCGGAAUGAAGGACUACGGGUUAAGAACCGCUUGAGUCUGGGACGAAGCGUGUAUGACGGUAAUCGGUUAGGAAGCACCGGCUAACUACGUG
rnacentral:rRNA from 1 species